AUGAAUAUAAAAUCUAAAUCAAUAUUAUUACAAUAGAUAUAAAAAACGAAAAUCAUUUACAAAAUCAAAAUUCAAAAUUUUAAACAAACCCAUUAAAAAAAAUAUACCAAAAACUCACCUAAACGGACCGGCGAAGAGAUCGACGAGAGCAGAGACGGACGAGGCGGCAACCGGAGGUGACUCUGGAACCGGAGGCGUCGAAGUCCAGCGGCGCGAGUCGGCAGUUGGAGGAACGCUUGGAAGGUCGGCGGCGACAGUGGGAGGAAAGGAACGCG
rnacentral:lncRNA from 1 species